CUUGGGUGAUAGACCGCCAGCAAUAGCCGCAAGAUCCGAUUACCAUCACCUCGGACACCAGAUAUAUAGUACGCAAAAGCGGGAGGGUAGUGGGUGCCAUAGUGGACAACAGAAGGGAAGGGUUUUGGGGAGCUGAAAGCUGAAAUUGAGUAGAAUAAGAGAAACAAGAGAGAGAUGAAUGCUGCAGAGAAGAGUGUGAAAAGCCAUCUUUUCUCUGCUCCCAUAAUGCUAACAAUACUAAGGUGGAAUUGGCCUCUCGUUCUCGUUCUCGUUCUCGUUCCCG
rnacentral:misc_RNA from 1 species